UUGGACUGAAAUAUGUUGUUAAACCAUGUUUACCUUUAUCUUGUUGUGCAGAAUUCAGAAUCGUUAGAUGAGCAUAAGUUAUUAUUUAGUUUAUAGUGUUACUCGAUAACUAUGUAAUUAUCUUAAUUAGAUUGUCACGUUGUUGAAUAUCUUUUGAAACUGUUGGCUUGUUCGGAGGUGAUGAUGGAAAGAAAGGUGGCGCGGGCAUCAGGAAACAAGCUGAAUCUGGGGAUUGCGCAUAUGUGAUCAGAAACUAUCGUCGAGGCAUGUGAAAGUUCUGACUUCUGAGUUGGGGAGCUUCAAUUUUUGUUGUUAAUUAAACCAUGGUCUCACCUUCAAAAUCAGUACACCCGCAGUCUCUUGGAGGUUGGUACUUUAAGUUCGUGGAGUAUCAUUUAAGAUUAAUGGGAAGGAAUUCGGUGUUGCCCCAAGUUAGGACAGUGACAAAUUGUUCGUCGGCAAUAUAUGAAAGACAUGAACAAAGGAAGCUCCCCCUGCAUGUGCCCCUCGUACAACUGGUGCUGGACCUGGAGUUGUAGGAGUACAUGGAUCCUAUGUGGAUGCAGAUACAAAGUUGAGGUUUGUCAACUUCAAAAGGUUUAUGAGAAGCUCAAAAGAAGUCGAAGAGCCAUUCAUCCAUGCUUCUCAAGCUAGACAAGUUUUUUACUGCAGAGAUGUGACAAGGGAGGAUUGGAAUUUGGUUUUGUAAUCUCCAAUAAGAUCAGACCCCAAUAAGAAUGCUUUGGAAGAUCUAUCUGUCUUCACUGCAAAUGCGAAUGAAGAUCCAUCAAUUUUGACAACUGUUAGAGAUGAUUAGUAUUGGAAUGAAGAAGCUCAGGGCACGAGAAGUGGGGAUACACGUACGUGAAUGAACUUUCCCAACACCUUAUAUUUCAACUGGUGGAAAUCAUGCAGCUCCCCUGCGCACAUGAAGUCGCACAUUGAUGCGUUGCUUGAUAUCAUUUGUGAAGUAUUGUCAUAGGAGGAGCUGAAUUAUCAUUUUGUUUUUUUUAUCAGUUUAUUAGUUUAGCAUGUUGUUGUCAGAACUUAGCAAUCUUGGACAUGUAUUAUCUGAACUCAGUAUUUCAUUUUUUUUAUGUAGUUUUACACCCAAUGGAAUGAAUGUUAAAAUUCUCAGUUAAAUUUGAAGUUGCACUUGAAUUUCAGUUAAAUUUGAGUUGCAUUUGAAUUUCAGUUAAAUUUGAGGUU